UCCAUUUUUCUAACUGUUGAUAACUCCCCCCCCCCCCGCACACUCUGGCUCACCUCUUACUUCUUGUCAUCUCUCUUGCCUAUCACGUCUCCAUGGUUCCCCCCUCCUUCCAUUUCUCCUUUGGUCCUCUCUUCUCCUAAAAGAUUCUUUCUUCAGCCCUUUACCUUUUCCACUGAUCUCCUCACAACUUCUGAUAUAUCCCCCCCUCUCCCACCCACCUACCUUCCCCUUCACCUGGCCUCAUUUAUCCCCUUCUAGGUUGUAUCUUUCUCCUCCAGCCACCUUUUUAUUCUGGCUUCUUUGUUCGUUCAUUAUGACGAUGGUGAUCAUGCUCUUUUCAUGACUGUUAAUGUUCUUGGCAAUUUUUUCUACAGAAGUGGUUUAUCAUUUGCCUUUUUCUGAGCAGAGUCUUUACGAUACGGGUCAUCCCAGCCAUUAUGAAUACUCUUCAGAGAUUGUCUGCCUGGCAUCAAUUCUCACAUAACCAGGACUUGUGAUCUGCACCAGCUGCUCAUACGACUGACCACCACCAGCUUCCAUGCCUUCACCUUGCCACACCCUGCCCAAGAGUGACCUGCAGGCUAGUGGAGGGAAGCAGCACUUUAAACCUCCUUUGGUAGAGACAUAUCUCCACCCUGUCACCCUUCUUACCGUUUCCUUUUCAGUCGUGAUGAAGGGACAUUGCUCAAAGCAUCAACUGCUUAUUCCUUUCCGUGUAUGCCACUGGACCAGCUGAGUUCCUCCAGCAUUUUAAACAGAACAUUUAUCUCCUGGAGAGACGAGUACAAGCAGCAUGUGGGACUGCCAUCAUUUGUAGGUUCCCCUCAAGGCUUAGCAUCACCUUCUCAGGGGAAAUUUAAAAUGGGCAGUAAACACUGGUCUUGUAAUUAAUGUCCUGGUCCCACUAAUAAAUAAAUGAGGGUCGUUUGAGCGAAGCAACAGAUGCAGAGAUAAAAUGACUACUGGGGAACCACAGACGAGGAAGCUGGUAAUUAACUUACAGUGGGAAGAACGUGCAGAUGUAGACUGAGGUAUGGUUGGAAGGAAGGGGAUUGCAGUGAAUGCAUUUAACUCACAGCCUUCUUUAACUGGUACAUUGGAGAAUGGAGUGGAAGCCAAAGAGAAAUAUUGGACUGGGAUAGAGUCUGAUCUAAACAAAUACAACCAAGACUGAGAGGAAAUGAAAGCUGACACAAUUAGAUAACAGGAUUCAAUAGAUUCAAUGGGUACAUUUAAAGUCAGAGAAAUGUAUACAAUAUACAUCCUGAAAUUCUUUUUAUUUACAAACAUCCGCAAAAACAGAGGUGUGCCUCAAAGAAUGAAGGACAGUUAAACGUUGUAACCCCAAAGCCCCCCCCCAGUUCCCCCCCUCACAAAGCAGCAAUAGGGCAAUGACACUCCCCUCCCUGACCAGCAAAAAAACAUUGGCACCCCCCCACCAAGCACUCAAAGCAUCAAUAAAGACCCAGUACUCCAAAGACUACUCAUUCACCCAGUGUUCGACAUACCACAGGCUCUCCCCCUCUCCCUAAUAAAGGAAAAAGAGGUGAGACAUAGCAAACCAACUUGCUGAUUUAUGAUGUUAGAAGUCUGUUCUGUUGUUUUUUCCGAGUAUGCCCAGAGAAUCAGCCCCAGAAAGGCUCAGAUCUCCAGACACACAGCCCCUGGCAGUGAACCCACUGCUCCUGAUGUUCUGUGUUCUCCUGCAGAUGAGAGAGGCAAGAAUGAAAGUCUAUGGAUUAAAAGAAAGAUAAGAGGUGGGAGUAAUAUAACCAUAUAACAAUUACAGCACGGAAACAGGCCAUCUCGGCCCUUCUAGUCCGUGCCGAACGGUUACUCUCACCUAGGCACACCAACCUGCACUCAGCCAAUAACCCUCCAUUCCUUUCCUGUUAGCUUAGGUUCAAUGCAGCAGCCAUGAUGCAAACAAAUGCAGAGGAAGUCUGGGUUACAAACACAAGCAUGAUCUCUCUCUAAGAAAACUAAAACUUCAACAGCACUGAGCAGACAGCCCAGCUCAACACAGCUCUUCAGAGGCACUGAGGUGAAUUGCUACAAAUUCCAUGUCAUCUUCUAAAGGCAGUGCAGGCAACUUCUCCUGAAGGCUGGAGGCCUGCAUUUCAACUGUGUCUACUCUUCAACAAUACUUAACUUAGCUCAGAAGAAUGUCUAAAUGAGGUGCUAUAUAAACAACAGUACAUUCCUUACAAAUAUGGGACGAGGAGCAGCACUUGAAGUUUAUAAAUGUGUCACACGUGGCCGAUACUCUAUCCAAAUCCUAAAACAUUUGACGCUGGAAGAAAGAUGGCCAGCCAAAUCAAGCCUGGCAAUAAAGAUGUGGAUGAGAGUUUCAGCUGAAGAACUGAAGCCGUAGAGCCGGGCAGUGGAGGUAGGAUAGGGUGUGAUCGCCUUCAGAUGGAGCCAUUCAUGUGCUCAUCAGUUCAUUUCCUGGUCAAGUAGACAUCGCUGUUACAAACAGUGUGCUUCACCCUUGGACUUGUCAGGGAUCAUGUCAAUAACUAAGAAAUAUUGUAGAACUUGGCGGUGGAGACAAAUGGCGUUCAUUGUUCCAGUAUUUAGGUGAAAUGACCUAUUGAUUUAGUGCUGGAUGUCAGACAAGACAGCUGAGAAUUUUAAGACAGUGUAGAAGGGCAGUGUUGUGUAUUUAAUAUUUCAGUAAUAUUUGAGUAAUGUUGUAAAUAUACUGAUAAAUUAAACAUUCUUUGUUGUAAAAGUAUGUAAAUGACAUACAUCAUCACACUACCACAUCAUAAGUGCAUGCCUCAUUUAAGGUAAAAACCAAGUUAAACUUGCAUUCCAGCCUCUCUUAUUUUUAUUUUGAUUAGUUUUAUGUUUUGAAGUUACAAAAUAUACAGUGGCAUUGAGGUAAUUUUUAAAAUAAACCCAUUUUGACUACCUACCUGUUGAAGUGCAGUGAAAAAUUUGAGUUUUUAAAAAAUAUGGCAAGAAACGGUCAAGUUUAAAAAAAACACAGCAUGCUUUUUUUCUUCAAAGCAGCACACUUUCUUCCCAAAAGGAAUGACAAUCGAGUGAAAAAAGGCAGAAAAUGGAAGAAUUCAUGGGUUCAUAAACAGUGGCUAUCAAGUAAUAAUAAUCAUAAAAAGUGCUGAAAUGGUUGGCUGCAUCAGAAAGAUUGACACAUUUGAUUACUCAAAAAAUAACUGGAAUAUGAAUACUGAACAGAGCAUGUGGUAUUUUAAAGCAAAUGAAACAGCCAAUGAGGAAUGAGUGACAGCUUUAGUGAGUGCAAUAGAUUUAAAGGCACACAGUUUGCUUAGAAAUUUAACUAGUCCAACCAAACCAGUUGAAAUGAGCUUUGCUGACAUCGUGAAAGUAAUGCAAAAAUAUUUAGGACCGAAAGCAUCGUUGAUUGAAGAACUCUUUAAGUUUCAUAAGCAGAUUCAAAAGGAAGUGGAGUCCAUUUCAUCAUACAUAGCUGAACUGAAGAAAUUAUCUGAACAUUGUCAGUUCGGAAAUGGGCUUAAUGAUGCACUGAGAAAUUGUUUAAGUAUGUGGAAUCUUACAAGAAAACAUUCAGAAACAGCUCCUAACUGAACCACAACCUACCCUUAAGAGAGCAGUUGAAAUAGCUGUAUUAAUGGAAACUGCAGAUAUGGACACAAUUAAGUUGUAGUCAGGGAUGAAAAUGAGUCUGAACAAAAUUACAAUGUCUGAACAGAACUGGCCUGGCUAAACAAAUUGUGUUACCAUUAUGCAAGGGUUCACACACAUUAUAUCAAUGCAGAGUUAAAGGUGAAACUUGCUGAAAAUGCAACAAAGCAGGAGGCAGACAAAGAGCAUGCCAGGCAAACAAAACUAAAUGGACUGCACAAGGAAGAGAAAAAGCUAAAAAGUCAAGUUUCAGUUUCAGAACACUAAUCUGCAUGAUGUUGAUGAAAAAUCUGAUAAUGAUGAGAGUAAUACAGGACUGAGAAGCCUUGAGAUGUAUAAUGUGAAAACUAACAAUAGAUAAGCAAUAUGGCUUACACAGAAGUGAAUGGCAAAUUAAUUAAAAUGGAAUUGGACACUGGUUCAGCUGUUUCAGUCAUUCCACAAAAUUAGUUUGAAAGGUAUUUUGAUGUUAUUAAAUUGAAACCUGCAGAUAGCCAGCUAAAAACUUAUACUGGAGAAAAGAUAACUCCUGUAGGAAUGGGAUUUGUAACAGUGAAGUGGAACAAGCAGCAAGACACAUUGGGCUUGUCUGUGGUAAAAACAAGAGGGCCAGCAUAACUGGGUGUGAUUGGCUGAGACGACUGCAACUUGAUCGGAGAUCCAUCCACCAUGCCACAUCUAAAAGAGUCCACUGAAAGCAAAUUAAGAAAGGUACUGGAUGAUAUCAUAACUGUCUGCUUGCCAUAAACCAUGACUCAUUGUCCAACAAGGGGCAAAAAGUUGUUGGUACCAACCUCUGUGCCCUUGGUUGAAAAGCAUAUUGGACCAAGGAAGGACUAUGCUGCUCAAAGGAAUCGUGAAAGUGAAGAAAGCAAUGGUCUGACUAGAGCAGUUUUUGUCAGCAACAUAUCUGAGAAAGCUUCUGAUAUGUUAAUCAGGCAGUUACUUGUGAAAUGUGGCUUGGUUUUAAGCUGGAAGAGAACUCAAGGAGCUUUGGGAAAGUUGCAAGCAUUCAGCUUCUGUGAGUAUAAAGAACCAGAAUCUACUCUGUGUGCAUUGAGGUUAUUGCAUGAACUUCAAGUGGAAGACAAAAAUCUGCUUGUAAAAGUAGAUGCAAAGACCAAAGCCCAGCUGGAUGAACAGAUGGCCAAAAAGAAAAGAGUCAAUGGAGAUAGAGAAACAGGAUUCAUCAGGUGAUGUUGAGGACAAGGAAACCAAGAGGAGAGAUCACAUCAUAAAGGAACAAUAGAAGGAUUGAUAAGAGAAUACUCCAGUGAACUAAAUAGUCCUUCUCAAGAUCAUGAUAUACAUCCUAGAAAGAAGAGAUAAAGAGAGAUAUAGAAGUUGGCACCAGGAAAGAAGCAAGGAUCGAAGUAGAUCCAGAGAGAAAAGCUGAGGAAUGGAGAAGAAAGGUGUUGAGAGCUUUCAGAGCCACUUCCUGCAGUCUCAGGGUCAACUCCUACAACCACCAUGAGGAGGUCCCAGAAUCUGAGGUUGUUUUCACAGCCACACACUUUGGCUGCCAAGUGGACUGGCCUCCCUCAUCAGGAAACACAUUAUCCCACAAGAGUGAAAAAUCCUCCACAGCAAUUAAGUCUUUAGGCCUGAACAGGACAAUUUAAUGGUUACUAUGCUCUCAGAGUGUCUAUAUAGUAGUUGUAUUAUAUAGUAUAUGGUAUUUAUAGUAUAUGUAUAUUAAUUGAGAUGCAUUCCUUAUUAAGUUGGAGCUUAUAGCUAAGCAGGAAGAAGUGUUGUGUGUUUAAUACCUCAGUAAUAUUUGAGUAAUAUUGUAAAUGUAUUGUUUGAUUAAGCAUUCUUUGUUGUUUACAUAAUGCAUUGCAAAUUAUUUGUAAAAGUAUGUAAAUGGCAUACAUCAUCACGCCACCAUGUGAUAUGUGCUUGCCUCACUUAAAGUAAAAACCAAGUCAGACUCACAUUUUGGACUCUCAUUUUUAUUUUGAUUGUUUUUUGUUUUGAAGUUACAAAACAUAACAGGGAGAGACAAUGAUGUGAGAGCUGAGAUAUCAUCAACUGCGACCAAUUACAGAUUAGUUCAGCAUCCAUUGCUGCAUUGAUUCUGCUAUGCACUGGUUGGACAUUGCGAUUUAUAAGCUUCUGCCACUUUGUACAACUUACACCUACAGUUUGUGGGCAGACAGUUAAUUAUGGAAGGUAAACUGGAUCAUAACAGUGUAUUUUUACAGCGACUCCAUGUUCAAAAUAAUAAUUAAAUUUAUCUAUGAAUUUAAAAAUACAAUUUCAUCCUUG